CGAACCUGCCUUUCAGGCAUCCUCUCCCAAAACUUUCCGACCCGGCGGGCAACUGCCGGGUCUUUUUUUGCUCUGGU
rfam:Novosphingobium sp. B1 genome assembly, contig: Ga0157230_104